AUGGCGUCGAGCACCGGGGAGGCAGCUCCCAGUCCUAGCUCUCCCGCUGUGGCAAAUGCUGCUCCUCCGCCGGCGACCACCAUGGAGGUCAGGAUGGGUGCCCGGCUGCUGGCAACGGCGGCGUGCUCGGGCACUUUCAAGAAGCUGGAAUCCCUUCUUGAGAGGCAAGCAGCCACCCAGGGCAACGGCACCGUCGGAGACACGGCAAUGCUGCCAGCUUCUCCUCCCGGCGACGAAGAAGCAUUUCAUCGAGAGUUGCUCGUGUAUGCGGUCACCGCCGGACCAAAUGGACAAAAUGCACUGCAUGCUGCUGUUCUCCGAGGCAAAGCAGCGACUCAUUUGAUCCUGGAGGCUGCUGCUGCUGAGCAAGAUGAGCAGCAGCCAAUCACACUUCCAGGUUGCCCCAAUAGGUGUGGCAACAUAAGCAUUCCCUACCCAUUCGGCAUGAAGCCCGGCUGCUUCCGUGAGGGCUUCCAGGUCACCUGCAAUGACUCAUUCAAUCCCCAUCGCGCCUACCUUGCCAACAGCGGAGUAAACCAGCAUAUAAACGAGGUGUACUUCAGGGUGGAGACAGAGUGGAGUAAAGUUUGGAAUAGAUCAGUGGAUAAAACGGCCUUCGAGCUCAUCGAUAUAUCCAUUGCAAAGGGUGAGGCGCGCGCAUACACGGCGGUUUCAUCUAUUUGCAGCCAAAAUCAAACCGGUUACCUAUCCAAGAAUCAACAUAUGGAGUUGGGCAAGAAGAUGAGUCCAUUCCUCCUGUCGGUGGUGCGCAAUAUUCUCAUCGGCGUAGGCUGGAAUGUUCAGACUAUUGUCUAUACCUACCCGUGGUCGCCGCCGGUGGAUGGCAACUCACGGGAUAAAUUCAUUCUCUCCUGCCUUUCAGACCUCGGGGCCCGGCAGUUCCUCAAGUAUGCAACCAACGGGUCGUGCAAGGGGCAGGGCUGCUGUGAAGCUGCCCUGCCGGAAGCAUUUCCCAUCACUGAGCUUGCACUGACGUUCAGUUUGGGCCCAACAAACACCUUGUUUGAGACCAAUCCGUGCUCCUAUGCCAUGGUGGUGGAGAGGUCAUGGUACAACUUCUCCACACCGGACAUGUACGGGAACGAGGUGCUGCCCAAGAGAUUCCCAAGCGGUGUCCCCUUUGUUAUCGAUUUUUCCAUCCCGAAUGGUUCAUGUCCCACAAAAGGCCAGCAGCCACCACGGGACUAUGCCUGUGUCAGCGGCAACAGCUCAUGUGUCAAUGCGAUUAGUGGCCAUGGCUAUGUCUACGAUGGCAACCCUUAUAUCGCCAAUGGAUGCCAAGACAUCGAUGAGUGCAAGCUCCGCAAUUUGUAUCCUUGCUCCAGUGACGGGAUCUGCAAAAACACCUUGGGAGGCUAUGACUGUCCAUGUAAGCCUGGAAUGAAAGGCGAAGGCAUAAAAGGAACCUGCACAGAUAAAUUCCCCGCAGCAGCACGGAUGAUUUUGGGUAAGCACAAAUUUAGGCUAUGA
rnacentral:rRNA from 1 species